AAUAUUUGACAAUGGGCGGAAGCCUGAUCCAGCCAUGCCGCGUGUGUGAAGAAGGNCUNNGGAUUNUNAAGCACUUUAAUUUGNNNNNAAGGGUUUACACCUAAUACGUGUGACCUUUGACGUUACCAAAAUAAUAAGCACCGGCUACCGUCGUCCCAGCAGCCAAGGUAAUACGAAGGGUGCAAGCGUUAAUCGGAAUUACUGGGCGUAAAGCGCGCGUAGGUGGUUCGUGAAGUUAGAAGUGAAAGCCCCGGGCUCAACCUGGGAAUUGCUAUCAAAACUGGCGAGCUAGAGUACGGUAGAGGGUGGUGGAAUUUCCUGUGUAGCGGUGAAAUGCGUAGAUAUAGGAAGGAACAUCAGUGGCGAAGGCGACCACCUGGACUGAUACUGGCACUGAGGUGCGAAAGCGUGGGGAGCAAACAGG
rnacentral:rRNA from 1 species